UACGUAGGGGGCAAGCGUUGUCCGGAAUUAUUGGGCGUAAAGCGCGCGCAGGCGGCCGUUUAAGUCUGGUGUUUAAGCCCGGGGCUCAACCCCGGUUCGCACUGGAAACUGGGCGGCUUGAGUGCAGGAGAGGAAAGCGGAAUUCCACGUGUAGCGGUGAAAUGCGUAGAUAUGUGGAGGAACACCAGUGGCGAAGGCGGCUUUCUGGCCUGUAACUGACGCUGAGGCGCGAAAGCGUGGGGAGCAAACAGG
rnacentral:rRNA from 1 species